UAACUAGAACUCUGUGAUGGAAUAAAAAUGUGAGCUUCUCUAAUACCUCAGUAACCCAGUCCUUAGGGAGUUGAGCUUCCUUUUAGUGUUGAAUUAUGUGUAAACAGGGUGACAGCCAAUCUGAUCUUGGUUUGGAGUGAGUGGUGCUGGCAGUGGCUAAGGACGAACUAGCAGCACUGUUUCAAGUAUAGCCGCCUGGAGAAAAGGCAGAAAUAUAUGUUUUUUCAACUGAAGAGUUUGUACUACUGGCCCUGGAGACCCAGGAACCCUACUUGCCUUCUGGUUGGGCAAGAGGAAUAGCUUCAUCUUAACCACCUCUCUGUAUAUAUGAGCUCAGCCUGCUAUAGAAAAAUACGAGGCUGGGUGGCUUCAACACCACACAUUUAUUUUCUCAUGGUUCCGGAGGCUGGAAGUCCAAGAUCAAGAUAAAACAUAAGAAACAGUGGUUUUCGAUGUACUGGGCAUCAGGCAACGAAAGAAACUAAUCCCAAGUGAAUGGAAGAAGGUGGUGAGCCCUGUGAAUAUUGCAGCUUACUGUUGUGAUAGAAUUUCCAGACCACUGUUUAGCGUUACAGCUAAUAAAUCAACAAAUCAAAUCAUACAAAUACUCAAUCUAAAGGAAGGCAGAAAAAAAGGGAAAUAGGGAAGCAAGAAUCAACAGGACCAAGAGAAAACUAAUGGCAAAAGUGAUGGGACAUAAUGUCAUCAGUAGCAGUCGUCAAAAGAAAGUGGGAGUGACCUCAGAGCACAAGGUAUUCCCAGGAAUAAAGCAGCCCAUUUCAUAAUGACAAGGGAGUCACUUUGUCAAGGGAACUAUUAGAACCCUAAAUGCACCAAAUAAAGAACAGAGCUUCAAGAUUAAAAAGCAAAAAAAAAAAAAAAAAAAAA